rnacentral:rRNA from 1 species
UAGGGAAUAUUGGACAAUGGGGGCAACCCUGAUCCAGCCAUGCCGCGUGAGUGAAGAAGGCCCUCGGGUUGUAAAGCUCUUUUGUCCGGAAAGAAAAGCUUCGGGUUAAUACCCCGGGGUUCUGACGGUACCGGAAGAAUAAGCACCGGCUAACUUCGUGCCAGCAGCCGCGGUAAUACGAAGGGUGCAAGCGUUACUCGGAAUUACUGGGCGUCAAGCGUGCGUAGGUGGUUGUUUAAGUCUGAUGUGAAAGCCCUGGGCUCAACCUGGGAAUGGCAUUGGAAUCUGGGCAGCGAGAGUGCGGUAGAGGGUAGUGGAAUUCCCGGUGUAGCAGUGAAAUGCGUAGAGAUCGGGAGGAACGUCUGUGGCGAAGGCGACUGCCUGGACCAGCACUGACACUGAGGCACGAAAGCGUGGGGAGCAAACA